GACGAACGCUGGCGGCGUGCUUAACACAUGCAAGUCGAGCGGUAAGGCCCUUUCGGGGUACGACGAGCGGCGAACGGGUGAGUAACACGUGGGUGACCUGCCCUUACGCUCUGGGAGUAAAGCCUGGGAAACGUAGGGUCGUAAUAACCGGAUAUGACUCCAUGACGCAUGUUGUGGGGUGGAAAGCCUUGUGCGGCUAGGGA
rnacentral:rRNA from 1 species